rnacentral:rRNA from 1 species
UAAGACGGAGGGCGCGAACGUUGUUCGGUGUCACUGGGCUUAGAGAGCACGUAGGCGGCCUGGUUAGUGGGAGGUGAAAGCUCCGGGCUCAACCCGGAAAUCGCCUUCCAAACGGCCAGGCUUGAGGGCCGGAGGGGGAAGCGGAACGUCAUGUGUAGCGGUGAAAUGCGUUGAUACAUGACGGAACGCCGGAGGCGAAGGCGGCUUCCUGGUCGGCUUCUGACGCUGAGGUGCGAAAGCGUGGGGAGCAAACGGGAUUAGAUACCCCGGUAGUCCACGCCGUAAACGAUGGGCACUAGGUAGCGGGGGUUCCGAUACUUUCGCUGCCGGAGCGUAAGCGAUAAGUGCCCCGCCUGGGGAGUACGGUCGCAAGGCUG